rnacentral:ncRNA from 1 species
AACCGCCGUAUACCGAUCGGUACGUACGGUGGUGUGAGAGGUCGGGGAUUAGUCAUCCCCUCCUACUCGAU